CCUACGGGGGGCAGCAGUGGGGAAUAUUGGACAAUGGGGGCAACCCUGAUCCAGCCAUGCCGCGUGUGUGAAGAAGGCCCUCGGGUUGUAAAGCACUUUCAGUGAGGAAGAACGCCUGGUGGUUAAUACCCAUCAGGAAAGACAUCACUCACAGAAGAAGCACCGGCUAACUCCGUGCCAGCAGCCGCGGUAAUACGGAGGGUGCGAGCGUUAAUCGGAAUUACUGGGCGUAAAGCGCGCGUAGGUGGCUUGAUAAGCCGGUUGUGAAAGCCCCGGGCUCAACCUGGGAACGGCAUCCGGAACUGUCAAGCUAGAGUGCAGGAGAGGAAGGUAGAAUUCCCGGUGUAGCGGUGAAAUGCGUAGAGAUCGGGAGGAAUACCAGUGGCGAAGGCGGCCUUCUGGACUGACACUGACACUGAGGUGCGAAAGCGUGGGUAGCAAACAGGAUUAGAUACCCCUGUAGUUC
rnacentral:rRNA from 1 species